GAUGAACGCUGGCGGCGUGCUUAACACAUGCAAGUCGAACGGAAAGGCUCCUGCUUGCAGGGGUACUCGAGUGGCGAACGGGUGAGUAACACGUGGGUGAUCUGCCCUGCACUUCAGGAUAAGCCUGGGAAACUGGGUCUAAUACCGGAUAGGACGAUGGUUUGGAUGCCAUUGUGGAAAGUUUUUUCGGUGUGGGAUGAGCUCGCGGCCUAUCAGCUUGUUGGUGGGGUAAUGGCCUACCAAGGCGUCGACGGGUAGCCGGCCUGAGAGGGUGUACGGCCACAUUGGGACUGAGAUACGGCCCAGACUCCUACGGGAGGCAGCAGUGGGGAAUAUUGCACAAUGGGCGCAAGCCUGAUGCAGCGACGCCGCGUGGGGGAUGACGGCCUUCGGGUUGUAAACUCCUUUCGCUAGGGACGAAGCGCAAGUGACGGUACCUGGAGAAGAAGCACCGGCUAACUACGUG
rnacentral:rRNA from 1 species